GAGUUUGAUCGUGGCUCAGAUUGAACGCUGGCGGAAUGCUUUACACAUGCAAGUCGAGCGGCAGCGCGGGGCAACCUGGCGGCGAGCGGCGAACGGGCGAGUAAUGCAUCGGAACAUGUCCAUGUCGUGGGGGAUAGCCCGGCGAAAGCCGGAUUAAUACCGCAUACGCCCGAGAGGGGAAAGUGGGGGACUCGAAAGGGCCUCACGCGAUUGGUUGGCCGAUGUCCGAUUAGCUAGUUGGCGGGGUAAGAGCCA
rnacentral:rRNA from 1 species